GUCUAUGGCCAUACCAGCCUGAACGCACCCGAUCUCAUCUGAUCUCGGAAGCUAAGCAAGGUCGGGUCUGGUUGAUUUUGGAGCCUGAGAAA
rnacentral:rRNA from 1 species